rnacentral:tRNA from 1 species
AGGAAGUUAGUCCAACUAAGACCUUUGAUUUCGGCUCAAAAAAUCAUGAAUAGCACUCAUGACUUCCCU